AGUGUUGGCGGUUGCGUAACGCAUAAAUAGGUACGUCGCUUUUUGUUAUUAUUAUUAUUUUUUUUUGGCAUUCGGACGACUUUUCGACUCUGGGUCUCUUGCCGAAAAGUCUAUAGUGUCGCUUAGCUAUAUAUAUAUGUAAUAACGACCGCGCCCGAAAGCCAAACAAAAAUCAGACGAGAUUCCUCUAUAAAUACGCGUGGGUACACCUACCCUAGCCGUUAUUGUAUAAUAUUUGAACGGCUCUCGACUGCCUAUGAUAUUAUCGCGAUAACAAACAAUAUACUUGUUAAGGCUAUCGGACCGGAAAAAAAAAAAAAAAUAA